rnacentral:miRNA from 1 species
UUUGGGAGGCCAAGGCAGGAAGAUCGCUGGAGGCUAGGAGUUUGAGACCAGGCUGGGCAACAUAGUGAGACCUCCAUCUCUACAAAAA